rnacentral:rRNA from 1 species
GACGAACGCUGGCGGCGUGCCUAAUACAUGCAAGUCGAGCGGACGAAUCGAAAGCUUGCUUUUGAUUCGUUAGCGGCGGACGGGUGAGUAACACGUGGGCAACCUGCCCUGUAGACGGGGAUAACACCGAGAAAUCGGUGCUAAUACCGGAUAACACGAAAUGUCGCAUGACGUUUCGUUGAAAGACGGCGCAAGCUGUCGCUACAGGAUGGGCCCGCGGCGCAUUAGCUAGUUGGUGAGGUAACGGCUCACCAAGGCGACGAUGCGUAGCCGACCUGAGAGGGUGAUCGGCCACACUGGGACUGAGACACGGCCCAGACUCCUACGGGAGGCAGCAGUAGGGAAUCUUCCGCAAUGGGCGAAAGUCUGACGGAGCAACGCCGCGUGAGCGAAGAAGGCCUUCGGGUCGUAAAGCUCUGUUGUUAGGGAAGAACAAGUAACGCAGUAACUGGCGUUACCGUGACGGUACCUAACGAGAAAGCCACGGCUAACUACGUG